UCCAUCUCAAAAAAAAAAACCAUUAAAAAAAAGUGAGCACUUUAAAUUUCCUUCCCUUAUGUAAACACUUUGAGUAGUUUCACCGGAUUUUUCAGUUAGUUUCAACACCAAGUGAAUACCUCUGACAUGGAAAUUAAAGUUUUAACCAAGAGACUCCAAGCUAAGGCUAAUAUUAAGCCAGAAAGAGGAAGUUAUUAAAGGAAUGAGCGGCCGACUCUGGAGCCCAAGCUGUUGCUUCCCAUCUGGUGGUGAGGCCUCCACUGUCUGGUGAGUGCAAUGUCCGAUGCUAGAGCCCAGGCUGUUGCUUCCCACUCUGGUAGUGAAUCCUCCAUAGUCUGCCACCAGAAAACGCUAUGACUUUGGGGAGAGAAAGAGAUCAUGGCUUCCGAACAAGAUAAACAAGCAGUGCAACUGGCCCUGGAUCUAUGACCCAUUUGGGAUGGUCCCGUAGAACUGCAAGUAACUGUCCUAGAUCAACAUGCUAAUUGGAGCCUUAGGCAGAAACAAGAUGGGAAGAGGUACAUUUCUGGUUUUGGACCCAGAAACUGCCAGAGGCCAGCAAAGCUUAUAACCCUUUCGAGGAGCAAUUGUUAGCUUGCUAUUGGGCUUUGCUGGAAACGAAACACCUCUGCUUCAACCAUGAUGUCUUUAUGAGGCUUGAAAUUCCUAUUAUGACUUGGGUCAUGAGUUCCCCCGAAACUCACCAGAUAGGGCACGCCAAGGGGGAGAACUGGGGGAGUUUCCAUUCCGGGAUUUGGGACGUCCCCAAGUUUCCAGCCUUGGGCUCCAGAGUCAGACACCGCACUCUCCAGGCUGGAAGAUUCUCCACCAGGCCAGGAAGCAACAGCAUGGGUUCCAGAGUGGGACACCCGCACUCACCAGACUAUGAAGGACUCACCACCAGACCAAGAAGCAACAGCCUGAGCUCCAGAGUCAGACACCACCCUCAUCAGACUGUGGAGGAUUCACCACCAGACAGGGAAGCAACAGCCUGGGCUCCAGAGUUGGCCACUCGUCCGUGCACAGACGAGGAGAGGUCUCAUGAAGCUUCGGUGCAGUCUGGGACCACAGCUCUUUAGUAACGAGUUGUUUGGCAUAAAGCCCAGUCACAGGGCUCUUCAGGACAGGGCUUAAGGAACACAAAAAGGGCCUGAGGGGCGGGACCUAAAGCAUUAUCCAAUCAGAGACGCUGGGCUGGAAACCGUCCAAUCAGGCACGCAGCUGGAGCGACGAGGACGGCUUUCCGCUUUUGGCGCGGCCUUUGUCUCUAGCUGCAGCCGGCGUUUCAGGUCUCGUCUUCACUGGUCUGUGUCCUAUUCUCCUGGAGGCCCAGCCUCUGUGGCCCUGUGACCUGCAGGUAUUGGGAGAUCCACAGCUAAAACCCCAGGACACCCUGGAAGCAUAGAAAUGGCUUAAUACUUAGAAAGUGCUAGAGCAGCCUCUAUUAGGGGAUCUCUUCUCUGAUUGUACUCCACUUGCUGUAACACCAAAGGAUGCAGAACCAGGUUCUGUAGCAGAAAUUGCUGGUGUCUGUGGCAGGGGAGGGCACCUGAGGACAGGGAAGAAGAAACAUAUUUUUAUCUUUAUGGAGCAGCACAUUGUUCCCAAAUACCUUCUGCUUUAAGGGACAGAAAUGGAUGGACUUUUUCUGUCUUUUCUGCCAGUUGAUGUCAUGCUUGCAGGUAAACAUGUGGUACUGACACCCUUAAAGGCAUAUUCUCAAGAGGCAGGUAAAAAACCAAUUCCAAAAAAGUAUUGCAACAAAAGGAAGCACCAAAUAACUAUAAUAUCUUUAUGGCUUGCAAAAAUAUAGGCAGAAAAGGGCUUUCUUUUCUAGGGAAGAGCAAACAAGAUUAGAAAGGAGGUGGGAGAGGAACAGCAAAUGGAGGGUGAAAAAGUCAGAUUUUAGAUCAGAGAAUGGCUUACCCUGAAAUCAGCAUGUUCUUAGGAGGGACAUAAAAUGGGGUUGUAUGUUGACUCAGACUGAGGGUAGCUUGAAUUUCAGGAGCCUGAGAGAAGAUAAACUUAAGUAAAAUUUGAUUAAGAAAUAUUUUAUUUUAGGCUGGGUGUGGUGGCUCAAGUCUGCAAUCCCAGCACUUUGGGAGGCUGAGGCAGGCGGAUCACCAGAGGUCAGGAGUUCAAGACCAGCCUGGCCAACAUGGUGAAACCCUGUCUACUAAAAAUACAAAAAUUAGCUGGGCGUUGUGGCAGGUGCCUGUAAUCCCAGAUACUUGGGAGGCUGAGGUAGGAAAAUUGCUUGAGCCCUGGAGGUGAAAGCUGAAGUGAGCCGAGAUGGCCCCACUACACUCCAGCCUGGGUGACAGAGUGACACUCCAUCUCAAAAAAAAAAAAAAUCAUAAUUGAUUUUGACUGCUGAAGGCAAAUUCAGCUGGUUUUUUGUUUUUUUUUUAAUGAGAAAAAGGAGAAAAUGUGCAGAGUGUAUGUCUGGCUGUGUGAUAGGCAAGAAAAGGGAGCAUCAUCUUAAUCAUAACGGGAAGAGUGUUUCUUUCCAUAAACUGUUCCUGAAGCACACAAAGGAAGGAGAAUUUUAUUAAUCACAAAUAUUUUUCAUAAUUAUCUAUGUGUUUCAUCUUUCCUCAUCUCUUUUCUUUGUUCUAUGCAUUUCUUCCACUUGGCUUUUCCUGGGCUGCAUCUUAUAUAUUAAACCAGUAAGCAUAACUACAGUGUUUUGCUGAGUUCUGUGAGUAGCUCUACCAAAUUACUGAGCUUCAGGGAAGUUAUGGGAGUCCCCAGUUUUUAAACAGUAGCUCAGAACCAUAGAUGGGCCCAUGGGAUUUAUGACUGGCAUCUGCAGUGAGAACAAUGUUGUGGGACCGAGCCCUGAAUCAGGGUCUGUGCUGACUCUGGGUAGUGUUAGAAAUCAAAUGUUAUACAAUAAGUUGGUGUUGGAGAAUUGUUUGAUGUUCAGCAAAUGCUACAGAUUUGGUGCCAGAAAGAAGAUAUCAUGGAGGCCUGGCCUGGAAUAAAACUCUGGGUGUUUGGGAAUGGGAGAUUCUGCUCUCCUGUACACAGAUUGUCACACUGCCCAUUGUCCUGUGAUUCCAGGUCUUCUCCCAGGGUGACAGAGGACUGAAAACUUACAGGAAAGGAGCUCUGAUGACACAUCCCCUUUUCUUGCAGCUGCCACCACAGGAUUCCCACAUACUCCCAAACACACACACUAGACAUUGACAUGUCCACACUCCUCCCAGGACUAGGCACCACCCUCAGUGACUUCACCAUGACAUUUUUGGUCCAAGCACUUCUAGCCAAAAAGCCAAAAGUAUCUACAAGUUUCCUUGCAUAUUCCCAUCCCCGGAUAUCGAAUCUGCAGCAGCAACCUGUUUUCUCCACCAGCCUAGGGUUCUGGCCCUCCUUUUCAUAAUCUCAUCUGCCUGCAUGCACACAGAAAUAAAUCAGAGUACAGCCCCACCUGGUCAACUAUCUGUAGCAAAAAUCUGUCCAUUCACUGACAUUGCACUCUCUCUCACCUGGGGAUUUUUUUUCUUUUUUUUUUUAAUUUAUUUUUUUUAUUGAUCAUUCUUGGGUGUUUCUCGCAGAGGGG
rnacentral:lncRNA from 1 species